GCGGGGCCGGGCGGGGCGGGCUCCGCGGGGGCGCACGGCCGCACCCCGCCAAGGGCCGCGCAGCGCGGGGGGCACGCCUGCGGGCUGGGCAUUUUUUUUGCAUGGAAACGACCUCCCCAAAAGGCUCCAAAAUGCCAAAAAAGCAAAAAAUUAAAAAAAAGCAUUGCAAAAAAAUAAAUAAACAAACAAAAUCUCCCCAAACGAAAUUGCAAAAAAAAAUAAAAAAUUAAAAAUUGCAAAAAAAAUAAAAUCAUCAUUACAAAACAGGAGGGAAAUGUGGAAAACACCCCCCCCCCUCCCUCCCUCCGCGGUGCAAGCCGCACCCAGGCGGGGAGAAGGGCAGAAACCUGCUGCAUGCUGCCCUGCCAGCCUGGGGGGGUCCCAAAUCCCUCCUUUUCCCCCCAGUUUUCUUUAUUUCUCCAAAGUUUGUGCAGUCUGGUUGCUGUGACCUGCUCUGCUUCAAGGGGGGGAGGGGGUGUUUGUUUUUUCCCUCUUAAAAAAAAGCAGAAUUGGAUCCGGCGCUAAAAAGAUUCCCUCUCUUUUUUUUCCUCCCCCCCCCCCCUGCCCGGAGGAUUUGAAAUCCCUUUUUUUGGGCGGGGGAAACGGAUUCGCCUCGGUGUCUGGCUGGAAGCAGGAGCCGUUGGGAUGCCAAGGUAACAGAGCAAUGCAAAAAUUAAAAAAAGUAAAGAAUAAAAUCCUAGGAUGCUAAAUAAUAAUUACAAAGAAGCGAAAACCACUCAAAAGUGGAUGUUUGUCUGGACCGGUUUGAUCCAGAAAAUACAACUGUCCUGGCAAACUUGACGUUUGGAUUAGGAGCGGAGCGUCCCGAUCCAUACGUUGUUUUUUAAAGCUGGAGGAGAGAUGACGGUGCAAAAAAGUGGAAGUCACGGGCGGCGUCGGACUUCUCAUCCCUUCAGCAGCGUUGAAGAAAAACUCUGGAGCCUGGAAACGCGACCGGGUUAUUACGGACGGUCUCGAGCGCAGUAAGUUGGGGCCUGAUCCCACAGGCCCUGCCAGCACCGUGGCUCACACCAACUCGAGUGCCUAGCAUGCUCCGAGUGUCUGCAAACGAGGAGCUUGAGGAGAGUUAAAAUAAAUAAAUACGUGAAACGAUUCGCGCUUUUGAACAGCAGAUUUUCUGUUUCAAAUGUGACCUGAAGCACCUUUUGUUUCAAAAGCACUUAAAGUGGGGGAGGCUUAUUGUAAAGUGGCCCAACCCUUCUGUCCUGAUAUUUCAGUCGUGCACCUAAUCCAAGUUUAGCUCAUAAGGAGUUUUUAUAGAGGUUGAUUCAUGGUGGGAAAAGUGGGCAAUCAGUGUUUUUUGGGGGGGGGGGUUCUCCAUAUGAAUGGACUGGAAAUUUUUUUUUUUAAGUCAUCAUUAUCAUCUAGUUUGAGUCAUCCAACUUUGAAAUGUUUUUCACUCGUCGUUUUUAUAUGGUAUCUUGCUAACCAGGGGGAAAAAAAGUUUCCCAAGCCAGAAGUGUGUUUGGUAAUGAUAUGACAUUGUGCAUACAAAUUACACAUGCUCCAGCAUCCUCUGCUAUCGGCAUGUUUUGCUGUUAAUUUGGGGUAACCGUCCUUUUUCUUUGCAUACAGCCCUAAUUCAAUCUGAGUCUUGGGAGUUGAGCUGCUCAGGGAAUUCAAUAGCUAAAAAUAAAUGGCACUUGAUGAAGGAUUGGGUAUGAAUUAGGUAUAAACCAGAUUUGUGAAUAUUAAUAUUUUCCACUGCCUCAACUCAAUUGUUUAAAUUUUUAAAACAGAUGAAAGUGAGCACAAGCAGCCAUGAGCUAUUUAAGUGGAUGGGACUCUCCACUUUACUUCUGUUUCGUCAUCAUUUUCAAAAUGAGUGUCUUAUUUGCUGCAUUUCUAUUUUUGAACCACAGUGAAAGGGCAACUUGGCUUCUAAAACCCUUUUAAAAAUUAGUAAAUGCACUUCUUGAUUAUUUUUUUUUUCCAUCCAAGGCUUUUUUAUUUUAUUUUUAAACAAAUAACGGUUGAAUUUGUGCUUUGUCACGUGUCCCCUGUACACCAGUUUUGUAGCAGACCUCUUCAUUUUACACCAAACAGUAUAGGAAACACUUAACUUUUUUUCUUGGCUUUGGCUCUACCUCGUAUGGAAAUGGAGACCGUGCAAGUUAGUGGAGUUAUGUGUAUUUGUGCGUCUUUCCUGUCAUUGCCUCAACUAUUUCUUUCCUUCCCAGGAUGCCUUAUUCCUCUAAUGUAAUGUUUCCCCUGUGUGUGCCAUGUGAGUGGGGGGGGUUUCUGCAUUUUAAGUUGAUGCCUCUUUAUGCUUUGUGUGUUUGUGUGUGUGCUGAUUGUGUUCUCUGCCCAACAGCCAGCAUAUUUUGUGUUGGCUUAUUUCUGCAUAUCCAGAUGUGCUCGUUUUCCAGGAGUCUUAGUGUAUGGCUGGCUGCAGGGAAUUGUCCAUCCCUCCUUUCUUUCUGGAGUUUACCUCUUUCCAGUUGUGGUCUCUUACUUGUGGCAGUAAAAGAAGCGGCCAGGUGACCGUGCGAAGCUCAGAGAUGGAUCAGAGCAGGGUGCUGAGAGUCUUGGUUGCUUUCAGAUGCGCAAAGCGCUUUAGAUCCGUGCACUGAAAGUGGAUCAGACACAGGUCUCUGUCUCCCUAUGUGACUGAUUUCUGGCUGGCCUGCCUUGCUCGCCCAGCUGAGGACUGUGUGCAACUUGCCAGCCAAGAAAUGCAGUUCCUGGGUUGCUUGUGGGGUGUUGCUAGAGAGCACUGUGUGUUUGUUCACUUUAUUUCUCCCUCCCCUCCUCUUCUGCUGACUUAGUGAGCUGCUGGCUGCAGGAGUGAGGUGCCAGGCCCUGCUCCACGAUCUGGUCCCCUCCACUGCAGCCCAAGUGGACUGUGCUUUUUAAUUGUGUUUUAAGGGGGGCACUGCUUUGACAUCAACACGCACAAGCAGCACUUUCCUCUUCCUCUGGAGGAUGGGUCUGUUCAAGCAACACGAGUCUCUUGCUCUUGUGAUGCCUCCUCCAGGGCAGAGAGGUGCAGGGAGUCGUGCUACUGCUUUUAUUUUUUUGUGCAAGAUUUUUGCAUGGUAUUUUCUCCUAUCUGGUAGAUGAAGGGGGUUAAUUGGUCCUCACAACUCUCACUUCAGUCUUGUAUCUGCAUAGCAAAUGUCAGUCUUCCUGCUGUUAUGUGCCUGGUACGAUUAUUUGUGUUAAUAUGCAUUCAGGACACUUCCUGAUGUAGCACGAGUCUGUCACUCUCACUGUACGUCCCGGAGACCCAGCUUAUACAUUAACCCGGGGGUGGGGGUCAGGAAGGAGAAGGAUACCAUCAAUACUUUUUUUUUUUUUAGUAUGUUCUGUCUGGUGGGGGGGAAGUUUUGGUUUUCCCCAGCCAAGGAGGUUAGCACACAUCAGAGCUUUGAACUGUCUUUGUUCUUACGAACACAGCUGGGCCUCAAGAAUAAGAUUGUAGUGUGAUUACUCGAUGCACUGCACUGUAUGUUGUCUGCCUCAAGUACAGUAUCUGUUGGCAUGCUUCAUAACUUUUUUUGUGUGUGUUAUUUUUCUAGUUCCUUUUGAAACAGAAGUUAAAUUGUGUCCAAAGGGAGUCAUGUUUGCAGAACAAACUGAUGCAUCCUUGCAUCCAGUCAAGGUGAGUUGGGGACAUGAACUUAACAUCCCCUGACACUGGUGAAGCACCUCCAGGGUGGGAUCCCACGGGGUGCCGUCUCUACGUGGCAUUCCCAUUGAACUGAGCAUCCGGCUGCUAGGGUUGGGCACUGUACUUGGCAAGAGGAGCCAUUUUCCUCAAAGAGAUGGCUACUGAAAAUCCUUUGACAUUGGUUUGUAUACAAUUUAUUGAGAACCUAAAAUGGCAGGUGGCCGAUUUUUUUUUUGUUUUGUUUUUUAAAAAAAAAUUUAAACUAUACUGCAAGAGAUGGUUUAAUCGUGUGCAUUUGAAUUGUUCUUUUGGCUUAAAUAGGUAUUGGUUAAAUUUCUCUCACAUAGACAUCAGGGCUGGAAGGGACCUCGGAAGAUCUUGGAGUCCAGCCCCCGCCCCAGGGGCAGGAAGUCAGCGACGUAAUGUACUUACCUACUGCUCUCUCUCUUCCCCUGAUCUAAACCCCAAAGCAGAAUUGCCCCCUCACACCUCCCCCUCACCUUUUUUUACCUUCCUCUGGGGGGGGGAUUGCUUUGAACUGCAGUGGCUUAGACCUGAGCUUGAAGGAUUCCCUUUUGAAAAGGCAGAAUUUAUUUGCUUUCGUGGUUUAGGUCACAGGGGUGGCCAGCCUGUGGCAUGGGUACCACAGGUGGCAGCCAGCCACUCAUGCCCUGGCAGAUCAGGGAGGGGACAGGCAGCGCAGUGGCAGAUGGGGCAGAAAGCAGAGCAGUAGAUCAGGCUGGGACUUGAAAGCAGAGAAGCAAAUCACACAGAGGAGGGAGAACAAGGGGAUCGGAGUAGAGCUUGGGAAGGGGGGGGGGGGGGUGCUAAUUUUGUGUCAUGCCUGCCGAAAAGGUCAUCCCCGGCUAGUUUAGGAUUUGAGUUUUAUGCACAUCCCUGAGACCCUUAGUCUGACUGUCAUCUUAAAAGCAAAAUAAAGGUCUAGAACGAGGUUUGGCAUAUUUGAAAUGAUUCACUCCUUAGAAAAGAAAAAUAACUAAGACAAUGGGUAGGACCAGUCAAGCUAAGCCUCAUUUAGGAAAAGAAAGUCUGGACAAGAAUAAAAAUGGGAUCUGUCUACCUGUAUGUGUAUAUGUAGGUUACUUGCUACUGACAGCAGAAUAGCCUUCACCCUUUUUGAGUAUAUAGCAUGUGCAUUGCCGUGAGAACACAAAAUACACAAAAAACCCCCCCCAGACAUUUAUGUUUGCAUUAAUUCAGUACAGGCUAUUACAAUUUUUGACAUCCAAAUUCUUAAGUUAUGCUUUAAGAAAUAAAAAGGGUGGGGAACAGAUAAGCAGGACCCCACAGAGGUAUUUGGGGUGUUGGCACACGGGUGAUAGCAUAGGAGAUGUGUGAAGGGGGAGUUCUCUUACAGCUUGAAUUUGUAAUAUUCUUGUUGAAACACCAGAGGAAGGAGGAGGAAGAUAGUAUGAUCCCAUCUCAUCACAUGGCUAGGAAAAAUCUCAAGGAUACCCAGAAAUAUCAAGCUUACCUUCAUCACCUUUUAUGCCAGCAUAAACAGGGUAACUCCUCCUAAGGCUGCAGACUGGAAAGUCAAUCUAGAGAAUCAAAAAAACCAAAACACAUUAUUUUCUCUCCUUUCCUUCACAGGCAUUUUGUUCUCUGUCUACGUGGGCAGGGAAAGUACUGAAAUUGUGGGAAUUUUGAGGAGGGGGGGAUUUCUUCUAUUCACAUUUAAAUGCAGAAGUUUUGCAAAUCUGAACAAGAUGGGUCUUAAUAGCCUAAGCACAGAAAAAGUCAUUUCCAAGUUCUGAAAUAAUCUGAAUUUGGACAAUCUCAAUUGGGAGAAUUCAGGGAAACAGGAAAAUUCAACAUCUUGUGUGCUACCUAAGUAUUUUUGAGGGCAGGUCUCGCCCCUGGCGAAAUCCCUUUAGCGUUCAACCUGGCACCCAGCUGCCAAAAAACAGUCCUAGAGAAGUAGGGCUGGAAGGGCCAGCCCUCCAGCGGUCAUCUAGUCCAGCCCCCUGCCUAAGGCAGGAUCAGCCCCAUCCAAGCCAUCCCUUACAACUCUAAUGUAACCUGGCAGUGUUGUAUUGCCUCUAUUGCAAGGGGACGAAGUCCUGCACAAGGAAUUAGGACGCAGGCUGGCAAGCCUGAAAAUAGAGUGGGCUCCCGCAAGCCGACUAGGCAUAUUUUUGGGCAAAUAAAAUGCUCCCGCGUCUAACUUUUUGUUUUCAGGCAUGUUUGCAGUCGCUGUAUUCUUGUGUAACGACUUGUUCUCUUAUAGUUUCAGGCUGGUAGCACGUGAGUGAAGAACACACUGCCAACAUGACAUUAUAAAUGCCUUCCUCUGAUCGCAGAGCGCUCUUCCAUCUUAUAGUUGUUUUAUUGUUUGUUUUUUCCCUCUUUCCCAAAACUAAACCAAAAAAAAAAAAAUCAAAAUACCAUUUGGGAUUUCAACAUUCAUUGGGCUUUGAGGAGAUGUAGCAGCACAUCAUGGUUUGUAGGGACAAGGAGAUACAGACCAUUCUGGGCUGCCUCAUUACCUCAAGGAUAAGACAAGAAAUUGAGCUUCUGGGUAUCAUAGAGGUGGAAGCUAACACACGCUCACGUAUCUCUUAGGUCAGUUGAACCAGGUACGUGUGGAUCGGCUUGCUCUGCGCUUGCACGUGUGUGCGCUUUUCUUUCCAGCCUUGCCGAGAGACCAAGCGUUGCCUUUUCAUGCCUCUUGGCAUGUUGCGAGGGGGCUUGGGGCUUUGCUGUCUGACCCGCAGAGAUUUCACUAGUUUCUUACCUUCCCCUCCCCCCCCCGCCCCAUUGGCCAAGCACUUGACCCUUAAGGAGGAGGCAGGGUACAGCCUUGCUUCUGCCAGCUGCUCCAGGUAACCCUCUUUUUUUUUUUCCCCCUUAUGGUGCAAUGCUUUCUCCCGUGUCUUAGCACCGGUGCUGGGACCGGACCGCCGGAGGGGGGCUCGGGAAGUGUGGGCCACCUCUCCAAGCGGACGUGUCAGCAGUGCUCUAGCAGCACGUAAAUACUGGAGUCGAGGACUGCCUGGCUGCUCUCCAGUAUUGCAUUGCUGCUUGAGUGAGGCUGGAUCUCGGUGCCUGCCGCAGGAGCCCACAAGCACCUCCGAGGGGGUGGGGGGGGCGGCGUCUCUGGCCCUGCUGUAGCCCUCUUCGCAAUAAAGCCUGGCCCAAGAGGCAGAA